AUUGUGAACAUGUCACAUGAUUGCAAUGUUGAAGAAAGUCAAGAGUAUAAGAAGGUUUAUGUUGGAGGGAAGUGUGUGAAGUUUUCAUCCUCCAUUAUUAAUAAGUAUCUGGGAAGAAGUGAGUCAGCAGGGUUUGAAAAAGUUCUCUCUAUUGACAAGAUUUCAAGGAAAUAAAUAUUGGACAAGUGAAACAAUGACCCAACAAAGGAUUACUCUCUUGUGGAAAAUUUAAUGUGAA
rnacentral:lncRNA from 1 species